rnacentral:rRNA from 1 species
UACGGAGGAUCCGAGCGCUAUCCGGAUUUAUUGGGUUUAAAGGGUGCGUAGGCGGCCUAUUAAGUCAGGGGUGAAAGACGGUAGCUUAACUAUCGCAGUGCCUUUGAUACUGAUAGGCUUGAAUGUACUUGAGGUAGGCGGAAUGUGACAAGUAGCGGUGAAAUGCAUAGAUAUGUCACAGAACACCAAUUGCGAAGGCAGCUUACUAAAGUAUGAUUGACGCUGAGGCACGAAAGCGUGGGGAUCAAACAGG